AUUGAACGCUGGCGGCAGGCCUAACACAUGCAAGUCGAACGAGUGGCGAACGGGUGAGUAAUGUCUGGGAAACUGCCUGAUGGAGGGGGAUAACUACUGGAAACGGUAGCUAAUACCGCAUACCAUCGGAUGUGCCAAGAUGGGAUUAGCUAGUAGGUGGGGUAAAGGCUCACCUAGGAGACGAUCCAUAGCUGGUCUGAGAGGAUGACCAGCAAAACUGGAACUGAGACACGGUCCAGACCCUUAUGGUAGGUAGCAGGGGGGAAAAGUGUACAAUGGGCGAAAGCCUGAUGCAGCCAUGCCGCGUGUAUGAAGACUGCUUUCGGGUUGUAAAGUACUUUCAGCGGGGAGGCGGUACCCGCAGACGAAGCACCGGCUAAUUCCGUGCCAGCAGCCGCGGGAAGUUC
rnacentral:rRNA from 1 species